GACGAACGCUGGCGGCGUGCUUAACACAUGCAAGUCGAACGGAAAGGCCCUGCUUUUGUGGGGUGCUCGAGUGGCGAACGGGUGAGUAACACGUGAGUAACCUGCCCUUGACUUUGGGAUAACUUCAGGAAACUGGGGCUAAUACCGGAUAGGAGCUCCUGCUGCAUGGUGGGGGUUGGAAAGUUUCGGCGGUUGGGGAUGGACUCGCGGCUUAUCAGCUUGUUGGUGGGGUAGUGGCUUACCAAGGCUUUGACGGGUAGCCGGCCUGAGAGGGUGACCGGCCACAUUGGGACUGAGAUACGGCCCAGACUCCUACGGGAGGCAGCAGUGGGGAAUAUUGCACAAUGGGCGGAAGCCUGAUGCAGCAACGCCGCGUGCGGGAUGACGGCCUUCGGGUUGUAAACCGCUUUCGCCUGUGACGAAGCGUGAGUGACGGUAAUGGGUAAAGAAGCACCGGCUAACUACGUGCCAGCAGCCGCGGUGAUACGUAGGGUGCGAGCGUUGUCCGGAUUUAUUGGGCGUAAAGGGCUCGUAGGUGGUUGAUCGCGUCGGAAGUGUAAUCUUGGGGCUUAACCCUGAGCGUGCUUUCGAUACGGGUUGACUUGAGGAAGGUAGGGGAGAAUGGAAUUCCUGGUGGAGCGGUGGAAUGCGCAGAUAUCAGGAGGAACACCAGUGGCGAAGGCGGUUCUCUGGGCCUUUCCUGACGCUGAGGAGCGAAAGCGUGGGGAGCGAACAGGCUUAGAUACCCUGGUAGUCCACGCUGUAAACGGUGGGUACUAGGUGUGGGGUCCAUUCCACGGGUUCCGUGCCGUAGCUAACGCUUUAAGUACCCCGCCUGGGGAGUACGGCCGCAAGGCUAAAACUCAAAGGAAUUGACGGGGCCCCGCACAAGCGGCGGAGCAUGCGGAUUAAUUCGAUGCAACGCGUAGAACCUUACCUGGGUUUGACAUGGAUCGGGAGUGCUCAGAGAUGGGUGUGCCUCUUUUGGGGUCGGUUCACAGGUGGUGCAUGGCUGUCGUCAGCUCAUGUCGUGAGAUGUUGGGUUAAGUCCCGCAACGAGCGCAACCCUUGUUCACUGUUGCCAGCACGUUAUGGUGGGGACUCAGUGGAGACCGCCGGGGUCAACUCGGAGGAAGGUGGGGAUGACGUCAAGUCAUCAUGCCCCUUAUGUCCAGGGCCUCACGCAUGCUACAAUGGCUGGUACAGAGAGUGGCGAGCCUGUGAGGGUGAGCGAAUCUCGGAAAGCCGGUCUCAGUUCGGAUUGGGGUCUGCAACUCGACCUCAUGAAGUCGGAGUCGCUAGUAAUCGCAGAUCAGCAACGCUGCGGUGAAUACGUUCCCGGG
rnacentral:rRNA from 1 species